GUAUUUUCUUGUGGGUAAGUUUUUCCUCCCCAUUUAAUUCACUCAUUAAACAAAUAUUUGUUGUAUCCGUAACACUGCUGAUACAAGAAGGGAUGUUGAAACUGCAACAUGCAAGACUGUUUUCUAGAGACUAUGGCAACAAUGUCUCCCUUCCAUAAUUCUUCUACAGUAUAACCUAGCUAUUCACCUUUUAUGAGGUGCAACUGGGGCUACUGGGAUGGCUCAGUGGAUAAAGGUGCUGUUGCAAACCAUGAAGAUCUGAGUUCUAUCCCCGGGACUCGCAUGGCGAAACUCUUGCAAGUUGUCCUCUAACUGUCAUCUCAAUGGCACAUGCUUGCACACACACCCUCACACAUAAACGCACAGAGGAAUAACUGCAAAAACAUUUUUUAAAGAAAACAUGUGGUUGGUUGUUUGUUUGAUAAGUGAAAUUGACUUCCCCAUUCACUUGAACGCUGGUGGAUCUUCCAACUGUUCCCACUCAGAGAAUAGAGCAGUAGGUCUGGAGGUAUAGCGCAGUGGUAAAGCACUUCCCUGGCAUAUUCAAGGCCACAUGGUUGAGCCUUGACAUUGGAAAAAAAAAAUACCAAAAAUCUAAUUCAUUGAGUAUUCAAGACUUGAUUGCUGGGGAUUAGCAAUCCAUAGCUCUCUGACAUAACCACAUGUUAGAGUCAUCACCUCAUCAGCAUCUAUGGCCUCUUAUUUACAAGAAGUGAGAAACCAACCAGGCAUGGUGUAGCACAGCUUUAAUCUCAGUACUUGGGAUGCAGAGGCAGAUAGAAUUUGAGGCCAGCCUGGUCUACAGAGCAAGUUCCAGGACAGCCAGGACUACACGGAGAAACCCUGUCUUGAAAAACCAAAAGAGAAGAAGCAUGAGACCAGCAGCAUGGAGAACCUGGAAAUGGAGAUGUUCCGCUGGUCAGGGGCUACCACAGUUGAGUCGCUUGUUGGCGGAACUCUCUCUGGUCAAAGCUCCAACAGUAAAACCACGCAGCCAUGGUGACGGAGUGCUGAGAUUAUUACAGGGAAAUCAUGAAAACCAUCACUCAUGGAAACCUAACUUCACCAAAGGAGUCCUUGAGACAUACGGCCACCAUGACAGGAAAUCUAUUGGAUGAAACUGGAAAGAGAGAAGCCAGAAAAAGAAAGACCAAAGCUUUGUUCCUGUAGGCGGGCACCAGGAAGCAUGGCUACUCUACUGAUGGCUGUAAGGGUGGAAUAGCCCCAGUAAAUAACACGAUCUUGGGGUUCAUGGUGUGUUCAGAUAUCCCGCAACAGCAAGUCAUUCAGACGAUCAGUGCUGCUCUCUUAGCAGGGGACACUCCUCAAGCAGGACUGGAUUAAUCCAUGGGAGCGAGCAGCUGAGCCGUGAGAAGCCAGAAAGCCUGAUGUGGUCCACCCCUUUCCCUGGAAUCACUCCUUUCCAUGUGGGCUGAAUGCCCACGUGCAGCUGUCUGAUCUCAGGAUUUCUAUCAUCCAGAGUAUUCUCUGGAAGCUCCAGCGGGGUUGGCCCAGCUCCUGGCUUCCUCUCCUGGCAACAGCCUCAGGUCUUUUUGAUGAAUUGAAUGAGAAGUGGAGCCCUCAGGUCCAGUCCUGAUCCUGCAGCAGGUGCUUGCUCAUGAAGCUUACACAGAACUCAUGUGACCACGAAGCCAAGGUGGCCGAGAGAAGGCAGCUUCCUGGAAUCUCAGCCUUCCACCAGGCCAGGAGCCAGUCUGCUGCUUCUGUCUGCCUGUACCAAGCAUCUCCCUCAGAGGGAGGAGCCAUGGCCCCAGAAGAUGCUAAGCACUAAAGGAGGCCAUAUGCUUCUACCUUACCAGGUUUUCCGAUGCCCGUGGAGGUCAGAAGAGGGUACCGGACCAAUGGAAUUCAGGUGGCUGUGGUGAGCGCUGUGGGUUGUGAGAACUGAACCUGGGUCCUCUGUAAGAAGGACAAGAGCUCAUGACUGCUUAUCUUCUCUCUGGCCCCUCAUUUUACCUUCACGGGGUCUUGCGUGGCCCAGCCUCACCUCUGAGCUGCUGCUCAGAGAAGGUGGUGGAGAGACUUCAAAGAAUGAAACAAGAUGGCGUGACCCCGGGCCCUUUGAAACUGAGCCAGACCUGGAAUCCAGCCCCUGCCUGCUUUCUUCUGCACUGAAGAAUAAGGACCUUCUAAGCCUUGUGUAUCCGCUCUUCCUUAGCCUGGGAUCGGGGGUUCAAGACCAUUCUCGCCCACUACACAGCAUGUGUGGAGCUGGGCUGGUCACGUGAGAACCCUGCCUUAAUUAAUUAAUUAAUUAAUUAAUGAGUUUUGGAAACUUUCUCUUGGCCUUCCAUGUGUUUUGGUAUCAGGUUUCACCUGGUAUUAUUUGUUAGUGAGAGUUUCACAUCUAAUUGCUGUCCCACCCCCAGGGCUGGGUAUGGGACUCCUGCAUCCAUCCACAGCUACCUAGCUCCUCUUUGCCCUGUGACCUGCACCACUCUCUUCAUAGCAGCUACCACAACUGGAAACACGUACCUUACCUUCACGGAUGUUCUUGCCCCCGCUAAGCCAUCAGCUCCUGGACCACAGGGGCAGGAGACUGGGUCCUGUGGUCACUGCUGUGACCCAGUGCCUGGGACACACAGGAUAUGCUCACCUGAAACAUGACCACUGACUACCCGUUGCUGCCCCCCCCUCCCCCACCCCCACCCCGGUACCGGUAUGAUCUCAAAGUCUUGACUGGACUGGAUUGUAAAGUUUUCUGGGGUCUUCACAACCAAUGAGGCAGGUGCCUUCACCCUCACUUCCAUUUUACAGAAAUGGUGGAUCAGUGGUUUGGCUGCCUCUGCCAUCAAGCCUGAGUGUGUGUGUAUGCGUGCGCGUGCAUGUGCAUGUGUGUCUCUCAGAUGGGUGCCCCCGCACUGUCUUGUCUGUGCUUCCAGCCCUCACGAGUACACUCUUCCUAAGAAAGGAUCCUAGGUGUGUGAGUGGACGAAUCCGUGUCUACCUAACACCCACACCUGGAUGCUCCUUAGGUGCCUUGGUCUCAAGGUCACAGACAUCCUCCUCGACCACACCCUUGAUUGCUCAGGCCAGAAAAGUCAACCAUCACCCUCUGUCUUUUCUGUCCCUCGCCACCACGUGCCAUCUACCAACUACCAUCUAUGUGCCAUCUACUAGGAAAGCACCCCUAACUGUUCUCUGGUGAGCCAAGAAUACUGUCUUCUUCCAGCUAAUCAGUUGCCAUGACCACUGCUGCCUGGGUGCCUCCCCCCACCCCCUUCAUUCACUCUUGUCUUAGGGUUUCACUGUUGGGAACAGACAGCAUGACCAAGGCAACUCUUUUUUUUUAAGACCUAUUUAUUAUUAUACAUAAGUACACUAUAGCUGACUUCAGACGCACCAGAAGAGGGCAUCAGAUCUUACUACGGAUGGUUGUGAACCACCAUGUGGUUGCUGGGAUUUGAACUCAGAACCUUUGGAAGAGCAGUCAGUGCUCUAACCCGCUGAGCCAUCUCUCCAGCCCCCCAAGGCAACUCUUAUAAAUUAUGACAACAUUUAAUUGGGGCUGGCUUACAGGUUCAGAGGUUCAGUCCACUAUCAUCAAGGCAGGAACAUAGUAGAAUCCAGGCAGACAUGGUGCAGGAGGAGCUGAGAGUUCUACAUCUUCAUCUGAAGGCUGGCUUUCAGGCAGCUAGGAUGAGGGUCUUAAAGCCCACACCCACACUGACACACCUACACCAACGAGACCACACC